GGGGAUGUGGUGGAACUGGCAGACACGCAUGGUUCAGGGCCAUGUGAUAGAAAUAUCGUGAGAGUUCAAAUCUCUCCAUCCCCA
rnacentral:tRNA from 1 species